GUGAGAUGCUGACAGGAGAACAAUAAUGCGGUGUGCGUUGAGUGAGCUUUGUGGAAUAAGCUGUGCAAACAGGAGAACCUCGGCCUGGUGUCUGUGCGUAUGGUGACCAGUAAAUGGUACACGCAGUUUCAAGUCUACUUUGCUCGCAUAAUAGCGAGUAGUGAAUCCACACUGGUUUGCAGCAACAAGCAACGCUGAUGCUGGCGAGAGUGUGCACAGCUAUUAGUCAUCCACACUGGUAUAACUUUAUUGGUUCGUCUAAUUCAUCUUGGCUGGUCUUAAAAACGUAAGUUCAUUCAACUCCUUUUACGUAGCUAGUCUUUCAAUCGGAGAUUUAGUCCUGAUUUAAUUGUUACUACAUUUAGUAAUAGGAAGUAGUGCCGCAGUUUAAAAAGCGUAACCAGCUGACUGCAGCCAUUUGAAUAAGAUAUUGGCCUUCGUACAAUUGACUUUGGCGUUUAUGCUACGAUGCUACCAAACGUAGCAUUACAAACCAUUUAUGCUUUUUAUUACAGGAGGAUUGCCUUCGUCUGUCCAAGCCACUGUUUUU